UUGUUACGAACAUUUUUGAAUGAACAUUUUGAAGCGCUCGCAUGCCUCAUAGAAACUUUCUCCCUCCAUCUAUCUAAAGAUGGCAAUCUCUCUUCUUAGCUA
rfam:Gossypium raimondii Chr04_contig_742, whole genome shotgun sequence.